CCUUUUGAAUCGCUGAGUCCCUAGACAUAGGGAGCGGGGGAACCAACCGUGGCCGGCUCGUUGAUAGACGAGAGAUGCGUCCACAUGGGGUGAGUCUCGAGCAAUCGAGUAGGGCUACUCUUUGAGCCCGAAUCCGACAGCUAACCUCGUAAGCGUACAGAGAGGCAAC
rnacentral:sRNA from 2 species